ensembl:lncRNA
AGUAAUAUUGUUGGUGUUUACAGUGUGCUCAGCGCUCACGCUGUCUUGGUACACAAGAGUGAGCCGAGAGUUGAAUAUUACCGCGCGGCGGCUCGCGUCCCAUCUAUUUUCCAGCGUCGUCCUGCCGCGAGUCUUCAGGGAAAAGCUGGUGGAAGAAGUGGUCGAGACUGAUCUGCAGUUGCACCUGAGAGUCCACUUCCCAACAGAUCGAGCACUCUACCGUCGAUGUUCACUCCCCGUUUUGUCCUGUGCUGAAUUCUGGUAGGAAGAAUGGAGUGUCAGUCGUGUCAAAGCUACUGACUAAGGCAGGAGAGCCCAGCAGCAGUGCUUUUGGAUGCUGAGGUCAGAGAACAGUAAGUUCCAGUCUUUUCUGAUGUAUUCAGGAGUUGAUGUCCCAUUUGAUGGCCCAAAUGUAGGUAACACUUUAUUUGGAGUGCUCCUUUGUAGAUGAUUAAUAAACUCUUAACAGAUUAUCAGAAACACAUCAACAACAUAUCAGUGGAGUAGCAGUAGUGAAGCGUCUGAAUACACUGAGGUAAAUAACUUGUAGAUGUUCUGU